rnacentral:rRNA from 1 species
CGGGAGGCAGCAGUGGGGAAUAUUGCACAAUGGGCGCAAGCCUGAUGCAGCCAUGCCGCGUGUAUGAAGAAGGCCUUCGGGUUGUAAAGUACUUUCAGUCGUGAGGAAGGUGUUAAGGUUAAUAACCUUAGCAAUUGACGUUAGCGACAGAAGAAGCACCGGCUAACUCCGUGCCAGCAGCCGCGGUAAUACGGAGGGUGCGAGCGUUAAUCGGAAUUACUGGGCGUAAAGGGCACGCAGGCGGUUAAUUAAGUUGGAUGUGAAAUCCCCGGGCUUAACCUGGGAAUGGCAUUCAAGACUGGUUAGCUAGAGUCUUGUAGAGGGGGUAGAAUUCCAUGUGUAGCGGUGAAAUGCGUAGAGAUGUGGAGGAAUACCGGUGGCGAAGGCGGCCCCUGGACAAAGACUGACGCUCAUGUGCGAAAGCGUGGGGAGCAAACAGGGAUUAGAUACC